ACCAGUGUGGUUCUGAUGAAGAAAAACCCAUCAGCGAUGAUGCUACGGGAUAGGUCUCACGUGAGGGUCCUUGAUACAAAGGGCAGCUCUCCGCUUCUGUAGCUGAUGGGUGAGGACAACAGCUUGGUAAAAGGAGCUACCAAGAGCUGGCAGGAUGAGUUACAGCUCACCCUCUGUGCAUGACUUGUAUCACAGCACCACCACCACAGCCAAGCCAGACCCAGGAACAACUCUGGAUGUGACUGUACCAGAAACAGCUACCAUAAGCCCUGAGACUACCAGUUUCAACAGCACCAAAAUCCCAGAUGUGGCCAGCACUGGACCCAGUAUGAGCACAAUGCUGCUGUCCUUUGGGAUCAUUACUGUGAUUGGGUUGGCUGUAGCUAUGGUUCUGUAUAUCAGGAAGAGGAAGAGGUUGGAGAAGCUACGGCACCAGCUCAUGCCCAUGUACAACUUUGAUCCCACCGAGGAACAGGAUGAACUGGAGCAGGAGCUGCUGGAACAUGGGCGAGAUGCAGCAUCUUCCCAGGCAUCACAGAGCAAGACGUUGCCAAUGCCAUCAAUGCAUGAACAAUACCUGCCCCUGCUCUGGGAUCGUGCUGAGACUGGGGAGGAUGAAGCCAACAAACCAGUGACUUCCCGCAAGCAUGGCUGAUCCACUGGGCCCAGCUGGUCGCCCCCUUGGUUUGUGUUACAAAUGGGCACAAGCACUGGGAACUGUUGUCACUUUGGGAAGCAAACCCUUUGUGAUGGCAGUGGUGAUUUUUUGGUGCGUCUGUUACCACUAAAAGGUCCUGAGCUCCAGAUUCUGGGCUGCUGUUGACUGAUACCGUCUACCAAGCUGCGUGCUUAGGAACAGUGCCUGCUUUGUUGUAGACUAACUUGUCAGAGCACAUGUGCCCACUCUCUGGGUCAGGGAAGGAGGAGAGGUGCGUGUUUCAGAGAGCUUCCCCAUUGGCUUUGUGCCACCAGAUCCCAAAGAAAGCAAUGAAUGAACCUCUCUGUACAGUGACCGUGGCUUUGGCAGAUCCUGGAGGGGUGACUGGUGGCAAAGCCCCUUUAAAGCAAGGAGAGAUGACCCCCCUAGCUGAGUGGUAAUCUGGGGCACACCAGGGAAAACACACACCAUGGGCUUAUCCCCCCUGUGGCAUGUGGGCUGCUGAUAAACGUGCACCCGGGGUGAUGUUGAAGCAUGGGGAAUUCACUAGCUUUAAAAAGCGAAAUGGUGAACAUUUGGCUGAUUACAUCUUAACUGAGGAAGUGGCUGAAUAUCCCAAAUUAGGGCUGCCAUAUAGACAGAGGGGAAUUCACACAGCUAGAGGCAGGGGGUGUCAGUGUCUGGCUAUGUGACUCCCUGCCACUGAGCUAGGAAUAAUGGUGCUUGGGCCACAGAGAGGAGUCAAGUAGAACUGGGGUUCCGAUACCAUGUAUCCCCCCUCCUGCUUUGGCUCAGGGAAGUUUCUACAGUGCAGAGCAUUAUCCAGAAAAAAGAUUAAGCCUUGAAAUAUUUUCUUUUAAAUAAGGAAAAACAUGUAUUGGCUCAACAUUACAACAGCCCCAUGUCUGCCCCCAGAGGUGACUGAACAGCUGGUUCGUACUUCCUUACCUGCCCAGACCUGCAGUCAGAGUCUUCUCUUUUUCCUACUGAAGGAAACACGGAGCUUUGCGUUAGCCUCUGCUCAUGUUACCUGCUAAUGCAGAACGUGGGACUAGACAGGCAGGCAGAGCAUCCACGAGAUGGAAAGUACCAAUGGGAUUUCACUGUUUGCAACUGGAUGUUGGAAAUACCCUCAAUUCCUCAGAAUUUAGCAAGAUCAACUCUGACACCGAAAGCACAAAUCUGCAUACAAUGUGAGACUGAGAGCAGCCAGCAACAAUCUCAGACCAGCUGGCUACUGCUGUCUCCCAAAACUAACUGUAUCAGCAAGCUUUUAUUUGCACAGCUGCAACACUAGAGGACCCCACAUACACACAUUAUAGACUGAAGAUACAACUCAUUUAAAUUGAAUCCUGAGGCUCUGCAAGGAAGCAACCUUUGUGUAACUGGUUCUUCACAGACACUCCUUUGAAGUGAUGAAGUCCAGUGGCUGUGACUGAGCUCGUAAACAUUGUGCACUCAGAGUUGCUAUCAAAUUCAGGGGGAGUGCCACCAGGCCAACAGCUAGUUACAGGAGAUGGCCUUGAGCUGAUAAUGCUAGGAUAAAAAUUUCAGAAUCAAUCCCCAAGACAUCAGGGUGCGAACUUUUCUCUAAAGCAUCCAAGUUAUGACCACUGGAGCAACAGCAUUAGGAAAGCUGAGGUGACCAUUGGGGCAGCAGAGGGAACAAAGCGAGACAGAGGAGUUUGCAGCUGCUCCAUCUCUCAAUGUACUGAGAAGAACACAGGGAAGGAAAGACAGACAAAAAGGAGCAAGAUCCCAAGGCUGCUUCUGGCUUUGGAGUGGGUCUUGGAAAUUUUGCCAUAAAGCAAACUCUUUCCCUCUCGCAUCUAUGCUCCAUUAGCCAAGUAAGGUUAUUGAAACAAGCCAAGGCUGCUUUUUGUGGCUUAGGAGGCUUUGAAAUCAGCUUCAUCAAUCAUUCGGUAGUGGUACUUAUGGAAGAGAAGACAAAUGCUUCUUGGCCCAGACAAACAGAAAUCUUUAACAAUUGAGUUGUGAUUGGCAGCAUCUGCAGGUAGCAACACAAUAAAGCCUGAACCAUUAACAAACCUCUGCCUGCUCCUGGAUAACCUAAAGUCACCCAUAACCAGUGCCUUGGGGAAACCAGCUGGAUCCCCAGCUACAAAGGCCAUGGAAAAACAUCAGCUAGCUUUAAAGCAGCUCUCUGCAACAUGGCAGGCUUGCAAGUCUUGCAUAUUUCUAGUUUGGCUCUUCCUAUUUCUUGAUUCUCCCCAUGACAGACUGACUGAAAAGCAGGGAUUCUGUCAUUGUUUAUUUCAGCAAUUCUUCCUUAAUGUUGCAGGCAUGAAGCCCACGGCAGAUCGCUUUCCCACUCAGAGCUGUACAGCGUACAACCUGCAGGAUGAGCAAGCACAUGUAUCCUCCCAUGCCCUCCCUCUAGCACAGCAGCUCAAAAAUCCUCACCUGAAAGGAAAAAGCAAACCAACGAACCCCACAAUGACCAAAAUCUCUGGCUGUGCCUAUAGCAGAAGAUUACUAUGUGAUUGCAGACUCCUGCUAACAAAUCUCAGAGCAGUAGCCUCCUGCACGAGUAGCACAAAAGCUUGCAGGCAUAUAAUAUCUAAGUUAAACCCAGACCCAUAGAAUGGGUUCAUCCAGAAACUACCCGUCUGAAAGCUGCUACAGUUGCAUCUCGCUUGCAAACAAGCCACAGGAUCUAUAGUUUCUAGUAAAUCAGAAUAGUAAGUCUCCUCUUUCCCUUCUUAGUCAGAAGUUUAAGACAGGAUUACCACUCCAUCUCAAGCUCCUGAGCAAACAACUGUUAUGAAAUUUUCCAGAGGAUUGCCAGGUUUCAUACUGUACAUGCGUAUCCCCACUGAUUUUCAACUGGCUGUUUUUU